rnacentral:rRNA from 1 species
GAGGGGGAUAACCAUCCGAAAGGAUGGCUAAUACCGCGUAAGACCACGACUGCUUCGGCAGAUGCGGUCAAAGUUGGCCUCUACUUGUAAGCUAACACCAAAGGACGAGCCUGCGGCCCAUCAGCUAGUUGGUAAGGUAACGGCUUACCAAGGCUAAGACGGGUAGCUGGUCUGAGAGGAUGAUCAGCCACACUGGCACUGAAACACGGGCCAGACUCCUACGGGAGGCAGCAGUGGGGAAUCUUGGACAAUGGGCGAAAGCCUGAUCCAGCGACGCCGCGUGGGUGAUGAAGGCCUUCGGGUCGUAAAGCCCUGUGGGCAGGAAAGAAAACGGUCACGGCGAACAGGCGUGGCCCUUGACGGUACCUGCUCAGAAAGCACCGGCUAACUCUGUGCCAGCAGCCGCAGUAA